rnacentral:rRNA from 1 species
UACGUAGGGGGCAAGCGUUGUCCGGAAUCAUUGGGCGUAAAGAGCGCGUAGGCGGUCCGGUAAGUCGGUUGUGAAAGUCGGGGGCUCAACCCUCGGAUGCCGAUCGAUACUGCCGGGCUAGAGUCCGGAAGAGGCGAGUGGAAUUCCUGGUGUAGCGGUGGAAUGCGCAGAUAUCAGGAGGAACACCGGUGGCGAAGGCGGGUCUCUGGGCAGUAACUGACGCUGAGGCGCGAAAGCGUGGGGAGCAAACGGG